rnacentral:lncRNA from 1 species
AUGAGGGCGCCACCAGCAUGGCCCUGGGCAGUGCACAGAGCCCCUUCCCAGGGCCAUGGUCAGCCCACCAGGACCAAGGGUCCACGCUCACUUCAUCCCAGCCAGCCUGUGCCUCUGAGAGAACUCCGGGCACCAACCGACCUCAGGGACCUGAAAAUAGAUGCCACCAGGCCCCACAUGCCUGAGACCAGGGGUGUCCCUGCAUAUGAUGGUGCAGCCCAUCUGAGCCCGCGCGUCUCCACAGUCGGCACCAUCUCCAUGGUUUCCACUAUCUCCAAGGUCUCCACGGUCUGCACCGCCUCCACGGUCUCCACCUGUCUCCACCGUCUUCACCCGUCUCCACUGGUCUCCACUGGUCUCCACGGUCUGCACCGUCUCCACCGUCUCCAAGGUCUCCACUGCCUCCACCCAUCUCUACCAUCUGCACCCGUCUCUACCAUCUCCACGGUCUCCACUGUCUCCAAGGUCUCCACGGUCUCCACCCAUCUCCACCGUCUGCAUCCGACUCCACGGACGGUCUCCACCGUCUCUACCGUCUCCAAGGUCUCCACAAUCUUCACCCAUCUCCGCCAUCUCCACAGUCUCCAUCCGUCUCCAGUCUCCACCAUCUCCAAGGUCUCCACAGUCUUCACCCAUCUCUACCGGUCUCCACGUCUCCACUGUCUCAUUCCAGAUCACAGGGGACCAGCUGUUGAUGCCCUCAGCUAUCAUCUGGGCCAAUGGCUUUGCCCCCAGGGAAUGUGGACCGUCCACCACCCAUCUUUACUCUUGGACUCCCACCGGUGAGGAGCUCCAGCCUUCGCGCUACGGGGAGGCCACAGAAGGAUUCGUACGGGGCCUGGUGCUCAAAGCAGGCUACGGUCAGGUGAGCAGGUGUGCUAGGGCGCAUAGGCACGGAGCACUGGCAGGCAAAGGGAUGCGAGGCGGAGUCCUCCUCCUAGCAGACAUUGCGGAUUAACAGCAGGAUAAUCAAGCACGCAAGCCGCUCAAAGUCCAGGCCGAGUGUGCCCACAAGCGGUGCGUCCGAGCGCUCGCCAAGUGCCACACGCCACACAGGAGCCACACGACUCCCACAGCCCUGGCUGGUAAACACACCUCUGACACUCGUUCGUGGAUGAGCUUGGGUAGCAUGCCUGCUAUGGCUCGCGACACCGACAGCAGCGAAACAGGAGAUCCGGGGGUCAAACUGGGGCAGCAGGCCUCCUGCAAACGUCAGCUCAAGCCACUUCCCUGCGCUGAGCAGAAAAGGAGCGGAUUCCUCCCCGGCACCUGUUCCCAAAGACGAUGCCAGAACACGCCAUCCACUCUGCUGCCCCAGCCCAAGUCCAUCCUCAGGCUGAGGAUCUCACACUCAAGCAAACUCCACGUCAAGUCCACAUUUAAAUUCAACGGUUGACAAACAGAAAUGACACCCCAGUUUCCCCAGCGGCAUCCAGAGGUGAUGAACCAACCAACCUCACGUCCCAUGUCCCGGGCAGGCGUCCCAUCUCCACCUGGACACAGGGCUGUCUCCGCCAGGGCACAGGCAGAAAGGGAGAUCCCGUCAGAGCCAGUGAACCCCCAAAGCAGAGUCAGAACUGCUCGUUCCUGCGAUGACCGUCCAUGAGGCCGGGGCAGGGCCGUCCGGGCUGCCAUCUCCAAGGACACUCACACGGUGUCCCUUCCAGUCAUUAGAGGGGAGCAGUCAGCCUUCGAGGAGCUGGCAGUUUUAUGCUUCCCCUGCUUUCACCUCCUUCCAGUUAACUGUGAUGCCCAGGAGCAGGGACAAGUUCAGAAGCUCCUCAAAGCCAGGGCGGGCAGUGGGGGCAAGGGUGUCCCUGCCAGAGGACAGACAGGGAGAAGACAGGGGAGCACACAGCUCCCCAGAAGAGGGCGGCUAAAACGCAAACACAGGCCAGCCGCCCGCCAGCACCCGAAUGGGUGAGAUGUACUCCCCCCGUGAGCGCACAGACCUCCUACAAGAUUGCCAGAUCCCCGGGAGCCUGCCUGCCAAGCCUCGCCCACCAAGGAGCUCUACUAUCUUUAAUUUCUUCUAUCGUUCCCCAUAAUUCUACAGUUGAGCAAAAAAAAAAAAAAAAAAAAAAAAAAAAAGACAGGUUAAAGAAAAAAAAUCUUCACUAGCAAAAAAGUUUUUAUUUAAAUUUUGAACGUGACUGGUUGCGUAAAUGAAAAGACGAGGCAAACGUUUUCUCCCUAGGAGCCCCCGCGAUUCCACAUUGGCCCCCCAGGCUGAGGGACAGUCACAGGGAUCAUGCGCACCCCGCAAACACACGGCCUCCUCCCCCCACCGAACAGAGCAGGCGUCCCCUCAGCUCCGAGUUCUGACACCAGCUCAGAGACAUCCUCCCGCGGUGUAGGUUUUUCUUCCCCUGCGGAGACGGACAGACUUCCAAGAAAAUAGGUUCCUUAAAUUAGGCCACCUUCAAAGCAUUGGGUUUUAUCAGAUAGACCAACCCAGAAUUUCUACAGCUCUGAGAUGAAGCCAGAGGCACAAAAGCCGCCUCUGUUCGAGCCUGAGUCUGGUUGCGGAACCUCGUAAUGUCCCAGACCAGCCACCGCAUCCAAAUCAAAGCUCUGCGCUGGCUCCAGGUUUGGAGUUCGGCUCCCUCCGGCUCCACGGUCACCGGAACAGGGCCAGGGUUGCCCUGGGUUCCGAUCCCGUGGCCACCAUCCGUAAAUCCCUAGACAAGUGGCCGGCACCAGCCAGCUCCGCUCUGGGUUCCUGGCUCACAAAGGGAUGGGCUUCUGCGCAGCAGCCCCGCACUGCCCCCCAGAGUGGCGCAGACCACAGGCGACAGGCAACUGAUGACUCUAGGGACACACAGCUUUUACGAACGCGCUGUUCUAACUGCAAAAAGCACAAGUGCCAUAUCGAACUCGUGACAUCAAAGUUCCCUCCCCAAGUAAGUGUGUACUUAAGUACAAAAAGCAAGUGGACAAAUUGAUAAAGGCCUGGCCAUAGGACAGUAAUCGGCAAGCUGGGGAGCCACCCUGCAGGUAACAGAGCCUCCUACGUCUCCAGGUGUGUGGCUGGCAGGAGGAACGUCCUCCAGGUCACUUCUCUUUUGGAGGCAGGCAUACUUGUGCAGAAGCAUGAAACACACAGGACAAAAUAUUAAAAAAUAAAAAAUAAAUCCAAAGCUAGGCCCUGGUGACAGCUCUGUCAUUCGCUGGCCCGUGACCCCGGCAUGCCCACUAACCCCUGAGCCUCAGUUUCCACACCUGUAAGGGAUGGGGCUCAGCGAGCUGUAGAUGACAGCGAGCAGGUUUCUAAGGAGCCUUUUACCCUGUAAAAUGCUCCAGGGGUAUCGGAAGCUGCACUUCUCAGUUACAGGAGCCACUUGCCGGGUGUGUAACUCUGUCCUCAAAUUCCCUCCCUGUAAUCUGGGGAUUGGCCUGCGUGGCCCUCCGCUUUCAAGUGUUCCCAAUAAAGUAAUCCUAGAGUUCAGAUCUUUCACAGGAAAAAGCCCAGUCAUCUAGACUCAUUCCUGGAAACACAUUUGGUUUCAGGGCUUCUCCUUAAUAAAAUACUCCUCCAAGAGACACUUGGCCCCGGCCCUAUGUCAAAACUCCUUCCCCUACAGAAACCGAAGCGUCUUCCCACUUUUCCUCUUGGAAUGAAAGAGGGGGACGCCGGGUCAACGCUGGCAGAAAAACCAGCAGCUCCGUGCCUGUAAACCCCCAGCCAGCGCCUGUUGCUGCGCCACCAACAUGUGUUCUUGGUAAAACUGAGCGAAACGUUAGAGAGAGCACCAAUUCUGAACCUCGGGGGCUACGAACGGCUGAAUCAGCGUUUUCGGAAACAAAGUGUUCUGGGCCCGGCCUUGUAAACAGCAGCACUGAGAAAGUUGUGCAAUAACGCCUGUGUACUCACGAGCGAGCGCUACUUGUUUGGGCUUUUUCUGCAUCUCUUGAAUGAAAGCGGAUACGAGGACGUUUGCAAGGCAGCCUUCUCCCAGCGCCGACCCAGGCCGGGCACUGUCACCUGUGGCUGCCCUGCACUGCCCACCCCUCCGCCCCCAGCCAAUGACAAAAAGUCGGCAAAGUUCCUUGCAAUCUCCCAGCAGAGGGAAGGCGAUCAGAAGUGGGGAACAGCCCGAGUCCCUUAAGGCACAAGCCGGAGGGCAGCGGCAAGACGGGCCGAGAGGCGACCAGGGAGGCCGGUUGCAUCAGACGUUCCUCGGCCGGCGCUCGGGCGCUUAUCACAUUUCCCCGGCUGGCGGCGGCUGCCCCGGGGCCCACAGCUGGGGUGAGGCCCCGCGGGGUAACCGGGCCGCCGGCGGAACCGAGAAGAACGACUCCGGCCCGGCCGUGCCCCGGGCUGCCGGCGAGUCCGCCCCCCCCCACCUCCCCUCCACCCCGGGCUCGGGGCGCACCGGGGGCCGCAUGAGGUCCGGCCCCCCACCACCACCCCUC